rnacentral:rRNA from 1 species
GGAAUUUUGGACAAUGGGCGCAAGCCUGAUCCAGCAAUGCCGCGUGAGUGAAGAAGGCCUUCGGGUUGUAAAGCUCUUUUGUCAGGGAAGAAACGGAUUUUUCUAAUACAGAGAUCUAAUGACGGUACCUGAAGAAUAAGCACCGGCUAACUACGUGCCAGCAGCCGCGGUAAUACGUAGGGUGCAAGCGUUAAUCGGAAUUACUGGGCGUAAAGCGUGCGCAGGCGGUUUUGUAAGACUGUCGUGAAAUCCCCGGGCUCAACCUGGGAAUGGCGAUGGUGACUGCAAGGCUAGAGUUUGGCAGAGGGGGGUAGAAUUCCACGUGUAGCAGUGAAAUGCGUAGAUAUGUGGAGGAACACCGAUGGCGAAGGCAGCCCCCUGGGUCAAAACUGACGCUCAUGCACGAAAGCGUGGGGAGCAAACAGGAUUAGAUACCCGUG